rnacentral:tRNA from 1 species
GCCCGGGUGGUGGAAUUGGUAGACACGCAGGACUUAAAAUCCUGUAUCUGUUGAGGAUGUACGGGUUCAAGUCCCGUCCUGGGUA